AAGCAACGACUGUGAAAACAAGUAAAUUUUUGGUAUAGGUACUAAGUCAAUUGUUACAAUUGAACGAUUGCACAAUUUAAUUAAUUUUCGAUUUAAAAACGAUUGUGUGAUGGUGGUGAGCUUGGACUGCAACUAAAGGGAUUCCCGUUAAGAAGACCACAACUGUGUUAUUCGCGUACCUACCUGUGAUCGGUACAUAGCUUUCCGUAGUACUAAUAGGUGCUACAGUUGAAGUUGGAAUAGGAUUUGUCACCCUUGGAACACAAUAGUAGCCAUCACCUUCAAAGCCUGGAUGACAGUGACAGCUAAAUUGAUUGGUAGCUGGAUCUAUGCUGCAAAUACCGUAUGGAGAGCAAUUAUUGUUCAUAUCGCAAUCUUGACUGGUGACUGGUUGGCAGUUAAGACCAUCACCUAAAUUAAAUUACGAUACUUAUUUGAUAACUUUUUAGGAUUACGUUCGUUCACCUCUAAAUCCAGGAAGGCACCUACAUUCAGCUACUUCACCAGAUUGUACACAUUGUGCGUUUUCCCUACAAGAAAUAUUGGCGCAAGUGUUUACUGGACUGCAUAUUUUGCCAUCUCCUUCGAAUCCUGGAUUACAUAGGCACUGAUAGCUUCCUAGAAUUAAAAAUAAUAAUAUGUUUCAAAAAUGUGCAUUUGCUUGAACUUCUUUCUUUUAGAAUUUUUUUUUAUAGUCUACCACUGUUACAAUCUUCUCUUCUUUAAUACUUUGUGUGCUACGCUACUAGUGUUGCUAUACGUCAAUUUUGAUAACGGAUAAUCAAUCAAUAAAAUCUCAUUGUUUUCGA
rnacentral:lncRNA from 1 species